rnacentral:rRNA from 2 species
UAAGACUGGGAUAACUCCGGGAAACCGGAGCUAAUACCGGAUAACAUUUUCUCUUGCAUAAGAGAAAAUUGAAAGAUGGUUUCGGCUAUCACUUACAGAUGGGCCCGCGGUGCAUUAGCUAGUUGGUGAGGUAACGGCUCACCAAGGCAACGAUGCAUAGCCGACCUGAGAGGGUGAUCGGCCACACUGGGACUGAGACACGGCCCAGACUCCUACGGGAGGCAGCAGUAGGGAAUCUUCCGCAAUGGACGAAAGUCUGACGGAGCAACGCCGCGUGAGUGAUGAAGGCUUUCGGGUCGUAAAACUCUGUUGUUAGGGAAGAACAAGUACAAGAGUAACUGCUUGUACCUUGACGGUACCUAACCAGAAAGCCACGGCUAACUACGUGCCAGCAGCCGCGGUAAUACGUAGGUGGCAAGCGUUAUCCGGAAUUAUUGGGCGUAAAGCGCGCGCAGGCGGUUUCUUAAGUCUGAUGUGAAAGCCCACGGCUCAACCGUGGAGGGUCAUUGGAAACUGGGGAACUUGAGUGCAGAAGAGAAAAGCGGAAUUCCACGUGUAGCGGUGAAAUGCGUAGAGAUGUGGAGGAACACCAGUGGCGAAGGCGGCUUUUUGGUCUGUAA